UACGUAGGGUGCGAGCGUUAAUCGGAAUUACUGGGCGUAAAGCGUGCGCAGGCGGUUCGUUGUGUCCGAUGUGAAAGCCCCGGGCUUAACCUGGGAAUGGCAUUGGAAACUGGCGGGCUUGAGUGCGGCAGAGGGGGGUGGAAUUCCGCGUGUAGCAGUGAAAUGCGUAGAUAUCUGGAGGAACACCGGUGGCGAAGGCGGCAUCCUGGACCGGCAUUGACGCUGAGGCGCGAAAGCUAGGGGAGCAAACGGG
rnacentral:rRNA from 1 species